GACCUUCAUACUCACCACUUUGAUUCCAACAGCGAAGUCGAAGUCGUGGUCAGGAGUAAGACUGAGCUGGGUAGAGAUAGUAAGCUUUGGAUGAGGGGCACUGGAUAGCUGGGGAAGACGCAAGAGGGAGAAUUGCUUUGCAACCCUUUGGCUAUUGUCACUCCAGUUCCUAGCUUAAAACUGUACGGGACAUUUCCAGUAUAGAGCCUGCUGAGAAUGAAGAUGAAAUCAAGGACAUUACCUGAUGACGGAUUAUGUAGAUGGCGAAGGUGUGGUGGCACGGAGACCUCUUGGUGACCAGGCCGGACACUGAGCAAUCUGUCCAGCAGCUUAUCCGAAGAAGACACAGUCCAAACUUUGUAGGAAAAUACCUGAUUAGAAUCACUCUUCCAGGGGUUAUCUAGUAACAUCUGGCAGCCAGUUCUGUUAUUUAAUAAAUCCUGCUCACUUCGACUUUUCUGAGAUCGCUGGGCCAUAUGAUGAGGAACAGAGCUCAGGCCUGCAUGGGAAGUGGCCCUAUGGGAGGCUGUUAGGAAGUUAUUGCCCAGGGUGAUGGGUGGGAGACUCUGCGUUCUGAUUGGUGGAAGCCCCUUACGGGCCAGCGGUUUCUUUUCUGGUAAGAGAUAUUUUGAAUUGUCUGAGGUUUUCUUCUUAAAUUCAACCAUAGCCACCUGAUCACCAGGCUGUUCUUGGCAGUUGGUACCCACGAUGCUAUCAAAGGUGGUGAUGAUGUCAUUGACUUCCGAGGUGUCCUCCUCUCUGUAUCGGUCCCUGCUGGGAUCCUUCUGAUGGGCUCUCUGCUCUUCUUUCUUGUUUUUGCAGAAUAUUUGGUUGAGCAUGUUGAACCGUCUCUCCUUCUUCUGGGGCCGACUGCUCUGGGAGGGAGGGGGUCGAGUAGGCUCUGUUCUAUGCGAAUAUAAAAGAGCAGGGAUGAUAUGUGAGUAUGGGAAGUAGAGACAUCACUCACCGAAAUACCGACCCCCUAUUCCACAUGCUUCAUCAGGUUUUCUGAGAUCCUUCCUAGAUACCUCCAAAGCCUUCUCAAGUUAAAGGCAGUGUGAAGAACUCACAGUACCCCUGGCAAUCCCGCCCAGAAGAGGCUCUUUACCUUGGGCAGUCUUUGCCCAAGGAGGACGUUUCUUAGAUUUUUCUUGCUCCUUCAGGGGAUAUCCUUUCAAAAUUUACACUAGAUCAUCUGUUUUCAACAAGAGGUUAACUAAACUGAAAAUUAGCUGAAAGUGUUGUUGUUCUCACAUCUCAAGGACAGUCAGUAGGCACGCAAGUUGAAGUCAGAGAUGAAGCCUAAGGGUUUGAGUUCAGGCUUCAAUGAGCAGAAGGAUGGAGGAGGUUGCUGAGGUGGGGGGAGUGUGGUUUUAGGCUUUCUCUGACAGAGAUCCUAGAAAACCUGGACCGAGUGCUGACCAACUGACAUUAUCCCCCUCAGAGACCCCCUCCCCAUUUUAAACUAAAACUUUCCUAUCGAAAAGUACUUUUUAAAAAAGUAUGCUGAAGAACAGGUACGGUAGCUAACGCCUAUAAUUCCAGAACUUUGGGAGGCUGAGGCAGGAGGAUCACUUGAAGUCAGGAGUUUGAGACCAGCCUGGGCAACAUGGCAGGAUCUCAUCUCUAGCAAAAAAAAAAAAAAAAAAAACCAAGGAAAGAAGCUUUAGUCUGGGCUCCAGAGAGGGAAGAGAAGGAGUGCAUAACCAAGGUCGGGCGUGGCUGCAGAAGAAAGUGAGCAAUGCCCAAUGCGCAGGCAAAUUAUGAAGGAAAAAGGCCAGCAGUUGUCGAGAGGUUCCCCGAGGCACUGUUCUGUUUGUGUUCCUUGGAAAAUUCUGUGUGAUUCUCUUUUGAGGCUCCAAUUGACUUAAUGCUUUCUGCGGUAUGAAUUAACGAUGAAACCUGACCCGUGUGUGUGCCCCUGCGUCAGAUUGCAACAUUACUUUCUGGAGUGAGAUAUCGCAAUCUGCAAUUUGAAAAACAUCACCACUUAUUUUGGAUGCAUAUAACGAAUGUUUUCUCUACAGGUCACACAGUGCAUCCUUCGAAUUUUUAUUCCAUGAUGUAGUCUUAUUUUUAUUCUUUCACCUUCCAAUGGGCUUUUUGAAAUACUGAAUUCUAGACUCCUAAUACUACCAGAGAGAGAGCCCCAGGGCACUUCCGACGCUCAAGUUUCCCUAUAAAGAAUAUGUCUGUGUGAAUUGAUGCUAUUGCAGCAUCUUGUGUAAGCCAUCUCCUCCUCCUGUUACAGCUUGUGCUUUAGGCCUCUGGGUCUCAAAAUGCGGUCCACUGAACCCUUGGAGAGGGAUCCCCGACUUUUUCAGGGGUUUAUGGCAUUAAACUCUAUUCAUAAUAA